UGGAGGUAGUGACAAUAAAUCACAAUGCGGAACAAUGUUUUGCAAUUGGAUUGAGAACAACGUACAAACCUUAUCGAUAAACAAUUGGAGGGCAAGUCUGGUGCCAGCAGCCGCGGUAAUUCCAGCUCCAAUAGCGUAUAUUAACGUUGUUGCAGUUAAAAAGCUCGUAGUUGAAAUGAAGGGUAGUUGUGUAAUGAAUACAUUCGUGUAUUUUGUUAUUCAACUACCCUCCUUCUAAAUUCGAUAUAUGAGUAUUAAUUUACUUGUAUAUGGUUUUAGACCUUUACUGUGAGAAAAUUAGAGUGUUCAAAGCAGGCAUUUGCUUGAAUAUAUUAGCAUGGAAUAAUCAUGUAUGAUUUUCAUGAUGUAUUUGAUUGGUUUGGUUCAUGAGAAUAAGAUUAAAAGGGACAGUUGGGGGUAUUCAUAUUCAAUAGUCAGAGGUGAAAUUCUCGGAUUUAUGGAAGAUGAACAAGUGCGAAAGCAA
rnacentral:rRNA from 2 species